CGGGUGAGUAACACGUGGAUAACCUACCUAUAAGACUGGGAUAACUUCGGGAAACCGGAGCUAAUACCGGAUAAUAUUUUGAACCGCAUGGUUCAAAAGUGAAAGACGGUCUUGCUGUCACUUAUAGAUGGAUCCGCGCUGCAUUAGCUAGUUUGUAAGGUAACGGCUUACCAAGGCAACGAUGCAUAGCCGACCUGAGAGGGUGAUCGGCCACACUGGAACUGAGACACGGUCCAG
rnacentral:rRNA from 1 species